UACAGAGGGUGCGAGCGUUAAUCGGAUUUACUGGGCGUAAAGCGUGCGUAGGCGGCUAAUUGAGUCGGAUGUGAAAUCCCCGAGCUCAACUUGGGAAUUGCAUUCGAUACUGGUUAGCUAGAGUGUGGGAGAGGAUGGUAGAAUUCCAGGUGUAGCGGUGAAAUGCGUAGAGAUCUGGAGGAAUACCGAUGGCGAAGGCAGCCAUCUGGCCUAACACUGACGCUGAGGUACGAAAGCAUGGGGAGCAAACAGGAUUAGAAACCCCCGUAGUCC
rnacentral:rRNA from 1 species